rnacentral:rRNA from 1 species
UUAUUUGAUAGGGUGCCCGUACCGUAAACCGACACAGGUGGAAUAGAUGAGUAUUCUAAGGCGCGUGGGUUAAAUCUCUCUAAGGAACUCGGCAAACUGACCCCGUAUGUUAGCUAUAAGGGGUGCCUCGCAAGAGGCCACAGAUAAGAGUGUCAACCGACUGUUUAGCAAAAACACAGCUCUCUGCUAAGUCGCAAGACGACGUAUAGGGAGUGACAUGUGACCAAUGCGGAAAGGUGAAAGCCUGGGGUGCAAGCUCCGGGUCUAAGCCCCCGUGAAUGUCGGCCGUAACUAUAACGGUCCUAAGGUAGCGAAAUUCCUUGUCGGGUAAGUUCCGACCCGCACGAAUCAUGUAACGAGUUGACAACUGUCUCGGAGAGAGGCCCAGUGAAAUUGUAGUGGCGGUGAAGAUGCCGCCUACCCGCAGCAGGACGGAAAGACCCUAUGCACCUUUACUGUAAGCUGUUAUUGUCGCUUGAUUUUUAAUACGUAGCAUAGCUGGGAGACUGCGAAGCCUGCCUUCAGGGGCGGGCCGAGUCGAAAUAUGAAAUACCAGUUUUUAAUUGUUAGGCGUCUAACCUCGACCCAUUAUCUGGGCGUGGGACAGUGAUAGCAGGUCAGUUUUUCUGGGGCGGAAUCCUCCCAAAGAGUAACGGAGGAUUACGAAGGUUCCCUCAGCCCGGUCGGUAAUCGGGCUAUAGAGCGCAUGAGUAUAAGGGAGCUUUACUGUGAGACCAACAAGUCGAGCAGUUGCGAAAGCAGGUUCAAGUGAUCCGGUGGUUGAAUGUGGAAUCGCCAUCGCUCAUAGGACAAAAGGUACGCUAGGGAUAACAGGCUGAUCGCGCCCAAGCGUUCACAGCGACGGCGCGGUUUGGCACCUCGAUGUCGGCUCAUGACAUCCUGGGGCUGGAGAAGGUCCCAAGGGUCCGGCUGUUCGCCGGUUAAAGUGGUACGCGAGCUGGGUUCAGAACGUCGUGAGACAGUUCGGUCCUCUAUCCGCUGUGGGCGUUUGUGAUUUGAGGGGUUCAUUCUCUAGUACGAGAGGACCGAGAAUGACGCACCGCUGGUGUUCCGGUUGUCACGUCAGUGGCAGCGCCGGGUAGCUAUGUGCGGAAGAGAUAAGCGCUGAAAGCAUCUAAGCGCCAAGCUCCUCCCAAGAUAAGAUCACAAUCCGUCGCAAGACGGUGCAAGGUCCGGGUAGACCACCCGGUUGAUAGGACAGAAGUGCAAGCGUAGUAAUACGUUCAGCUUACUGUUACUAAUGACCUU